rnacentral:rRNA from 1 species
GGUCAAAAAAAUAAGGUUAAGUUAAUAAGGGCGCACGGUGGAUGCCUUGGCACUAGGAGCCGAAGAAGGACGUGACAAACGACGAUAUGCCUUGGGUAGCUGUAAGUAAGCGAUGAUCCAGGGAUUUCCGAAUGGGGGAACCCAACAGGUAAUGCCUGUUACCCAUAUCUGUUAAGGAUAUGAGGAGGAAGACGCAGUGAACUGAAACAUCUAAGUAGCUGCAGGAAGAGAAAGCAAAAGCGAUUGCCUUAGUAGCGGCGAGCGAAACGGCAGGAGGGCAAACCGAAGAGUUUACUCUUCGGGGUUGUAGGACUGCAAUGUGGACUCAAAGACUAUAGAAGAAUGGUCUGGGAAGAUCAGCCAAAGAGAGUGAUAGCCUCGUAUUUAAAAUAGUCUUUGUACCUAGCAGAAUCCUGAGUACGGCGGGACACGCGAAAUCCCGUCGGAAUCUGGGAGGACCAUCUCCCAACCCUAAAUACUCCCUAGUGACCGAUAGUGAACCAGUACCGUGAGGGAAAGGUGAAAAGCACCCCGGGAGGGGAGUGAAAUAGAACCUGAAACCGUGUGCCUACAACAAGUUCGAGCCCGUUAAUGGGUGAGAGCGUGCCUUUUGUAGAAUGAACCGGCGAGUUACGAUAUGAUGCGAGGUUAAGUUGAAGAGACGGAGCCGCAGGGAAACCGAGUCUGAAUAGGGCGCUUUAGUAUUAUGUUGUAGACCCGAAACCAUGUGACCUACCCAUGAGCAGGUUGAAGGUGCGGUAAGACGCACUGGAGGACCGAACCAGGGCACGUUGAAAAGUGCUUGGAUGACUUGUGGGUAGCGGAGAAAUUCCAAACGAACUUGGAGAUAGCUGGUUCUCUCCGAAAUAGCUUUAGGGCUAGCGUCGACAUUAGAGAUUCUUGGAGGUAGAGCACUGUUUGGGUGAGGGGUCCAUCCCGGAUUACCAAUCUCAGAUAAACUCCGAAUGCCAAAGAAUUAUGGUCGGCAGUCAGACUGCGAGUGCUAAGAUCCGUAGUCGAAAGGGAAACAGCCCAGACCACCAGCUAAGGUCCCAAAAUAAUUGUUAAGUGGAAAAGGAUGUGGGGUUGCACAGACAACUAGGAUGUUAGCUUAGAAGCAGCUAUUCAUUCAAAGAGUGCGUAAUAGCUCACUAGUCGAGUGACCCUGCGCCGAAAAUGUACCGGGGCUAAAACAAUUUACCGAAGCUGUGGAUACCUUUAUAGGUAUGGUAGGAGAGCGUUCUAUGUGUGAAGAAGGUGUACCGUGAGGAGUGCUGGAACGCAUAGAAGUGAGAAUGCCGGUAUGAGUAGCGAAAGACAGGUGAGAAUCCUGUCCACCGUAAGACUAAGGUUUCCAGGGGAAGGCUCGUCCGCCCUGGGUUAGUCGGGACCUAAGGAGAGACCGAAAGGUGUAUCCGAUGGACAACAGGUUGAUAUUCCUGUACUAGAGUAUGUAGUGAUGGAGGGACGCAGUAGGCUAACUAAAGCAGACGAUUGGAAGUGUCUGUCUAAGCAGUGAGGUGUGAUAUGAGUCAAAUGCUUAUAUCUAUAACAUUGAGCUGUGAUGGGGAGCGAAGUUUAGUAGCGAAGUUAGUGACGUCACACUGCCAAGAAAAGCUUCUAGCGUUUAAACAUACUCUACCCGUACCGCAAACCGACACAGGUAGUCGAGGCGAGUAGCCUCAGGUGAUCGAGAGAACUCUCGUUAAGGAACUCGGCAAAAUGACCCCGUAACUUCGGGAGAAGGGGUGCUGACAUAUGUCAGCCGCAGUGAAUAGGCCCAAGCAACUGUUUAUCAAAAACACAGCUCUCUGCUAAAUCGUAAGAUGAUGUAUAGGGGGUGACGCCUGCCCGGUGCUGGAAGGUUAAGAGGAGUGCUUAGCGUAAGCGAAGGUAUGAAUUGAAGCCCCAGUAAACGGCGGCCGUAACUAUAACGGUCCUAAGGUAGCGAAAUUCCUUGUCGGGUAAGUUCCGACCCGCACGAAAGGCGUAAUGAUUUGGGCACUGUCUCAACGAGAGACUCGGUGAAAUUUUAGUACCUGUGAAGAUGCAGGUUACCCGCGACAGGACGGAAAGACCCCAUGGAGCUUUACUGCAGUUUGAUAUUGAGUGUCUGUACCACAUGUACAGGAUAGGUAGGAGUCUAAGAGAUCGGGACGCCAGUUUCGAAGGAGACGAUGUUGGGAUACUACCCUUGUGUUAUGGCCACUCUAACCCGGAUAGGUGAUCCCUAUCGGAGACAGUGUCUGACGGGCAGUUUGACUGGGGCGGUCGCCUCCUAAAAGGUAACGGAGGCGCCCAAAGG